rnacentral:rRNA from 1 species
UACGAGGGGGGCGAGCGUUGUUCGGAAUCACUGGGCGUAAAGAGUGCGUAGGCGGUUAUAAAAGUUAGCUGUGAAAGCCCAAGGCUCAACCUUGGAAUUGCACUUAAAACUGUAUAACUCGAAUUCGGGAGAGGAUAGCGGAAUUCUCAGUGUAGCAGUGAAAUGCGUAGAUAUUGAGAGGAACACCGGUGGCGUAAGCGGCUAUCUGGACCGACAUUGACGCUGAGGCACGAAAGCGUGGGGAUCAAACAGG